rnacentral:rRNA from 1 species
GAGGAGGCGGGAAAGCAGGCAUGCAGUCGUACGGCAGCGGGGGUAGCUUGCUACCUGCCGGCGAGUGGCGAACGGGUGAGUAAUACAUCGGAACGUGCCCUGUAGUGGGGGAUAACUAGUCGAAAGACUAGCUAAUACCGCAUACGACCUGAGGGUGAAAGUGGGGGACCGCAAGGCCUCAUGCUAUAGGAGCGGCCGAUGUCUGAUUAGCUAGUUGGUGGGGUAAAGGCCCACCAAGGCGACGAUCAGUAGCUGGUCUGAGAGGACGAUCAGCCACACUGGGACUGAGACACGGCCCAGACUCCUACGGGAGGCAGCAGUGGGGAAUUUUGGACAAUGGGGGCAACCCUGAUCCAGCAAUGCCGCGUGUGUGAAGAAGGCCUUCGGGUUGUAAAGCACUUUUGUCCGGAAAGAAAUCGCACUGGUUAAUACCUGGUGUGGAUGACGGUACCGGAAGAAUAAGGACCGGCUAACUACGUGCCAGCAGCCGCGGUAAUAAGUAGGGUCCAAGCGUUAAUCGGAAUUACUGGGCGUAAAGCGUGCGCAGGCGGUUGUGCAAGACCGAUGUGAAAUCCCCGGGCUUAACCUGGGAAUUGCAUUGGUGACUGCACGGCUAGAGUGUGUCAGAGGGAGGUAGAAUUCCACGUGUAGCAGUGAAAUGCGUAGAGAUGUGGAGGAAUACCGAUGGCGAAGGCAGCCUCCUGGGAUAACACUGACGCUCAUGCACGAAAGCGUGGGGAGCAAACAGGAUUAGAUACCCUGGUAGUCCACGCCCUAAACGAUGUCAACUAGGUUGUUGGGGAUUCAUUUCCUUAGUAACGUAGCUAACGCGUGAAGUUGACCGCCUGGGAGUACGGUCGCAAGAUUAAAACUCAAAGGAAUUGACGGGGACCCGCACAAAGCGGUGAUGAUGUUGAAUAAAUUCGAUGCAACGCGAAAAAACCUUACCUACUCUGACAUGCCACUAACGAAGCAGAAGAUGCAUUAAGUUGCCUCGAAAGAGAAAGUGGAACCAGGUGCUUGCAUGGCUUGUCCGUCAAGCUCGUGUCGUAGAAUGUGGAUAGUCCCGCACAGACCCAAACCUUGGAUCUCUAGUGCUACGAAAGGCACUAAAGAGACUGCCGUACAAACUGAGGAAGGUGGAAUGACGUCAGUCCUCUAGCCUUACGGUAGCUCCACGCUUAAAUGGUGCUACAGGGCUUGUCCAAGGCUCGAAGUAUGAU